GAUGAAGAACGUAGCAAAAUGCGAUAAGUAAUGUGAAUUGCAGAAUUCAGUGAAUCAUCGAAUCUUUGAACGCACAUUGCGCCCGCCAGUAUUCUGGCGGGCAUGCCUGUUCGAGCGUCAUUUCAACCCUCAAGCACAGCUUGGUGUUGGGACUCGCGUUAAUUCGCGUUCCUCAAAUUGAUUGGCGGUCACGUCGAGCUUCCAUAGCGUAGUAGUAAAACCCUCGUUACUGGUAAUCGUCGCGGCCACGCCGUUAAACCCCAACUUCUGAAUGUUGACCUCGGAUCAGGUAGGAAUACCCGCUGAACUUAAGCAUAUCAAUAAGCGAGGA
rnacentral:misc_RNA from 1 species